rnacentral:lncRNA from 8 species
GUAUUUCUGACCUAUUUCAAGAGACCCAAACGCAAUCCUAGUUCUGUGGAAUCUCAAUCACUGAACAGGAUCUAACCGAACUACUGCCUGGGAGGCAUGUGCUUCCGCGUGUGAUGCAUGUUGUUACCGAAACCGAAACAAAAAAAGUGUGAAUAAAGUCAGUAUAAUUUGCCUCAAUUAUUUAAAUGAAGUUACUGGGUAUAAACAUAUCACUUCAUCGUCACACAAUUCACUGGCGACACUAAAUCUGAAGAGGUUCAGAGAUCGGAUCGUCUUCCCUGUCAAGCAUAGGCUAUUCCUCGUGAUACCAUAAUGUUCAGUGCAUGGGCGCAUUCAUAUUCUACAGCGCGGAUGGCUUGACGGAGGAUUCUUGUUUGCUUGACCGCAGUGGAUUUUGCAUCGUGAGCCAUGGGAUCUAUCUAAAGAUAUCGACUGAAGAAGUGCCACAAACGUGGUACAAUUCUUCAAGAAAGCUCCACGUGCAAAUCGCCCCUCCGCCCACUCCGCUUCCCUUCAUUGAAUGGGGCUCCGUUGUUUCAUCGCCCCCAACGCGUUCAAAGGACGGCAGACUGAAAAUCCUCAUACGGAUUGACCAUGCCUGGUGAGUAUAACCAGAGAUACUGGAAUAUAAUGACAUCUCUGGUAUAACUUAGCUAGCUAACGACGUUAGAUAACGCUAUUGCUGGUUAUGUAGCUAGCUGCAGUUGUUCAAGAGAUGUCCAGUUUGCAGUCGAACAUGCAUCAUAGAGAAGGUCAGCUAGGGGACCCUCAGACUCACGCAGACAUCCCUCACUGUGACCCUUCCUAUAAAUGGAACAGGGAGAACGCUUGAAUUAGGUUGGUGACAUUUGACCUGGUCAAAGGUCAAAACAGUUUCGAGGAUUGUCCCAAAUCACCCUCAUAACCUAGCCUGGUGGAACCAGCCUGAUCGCUGCAUUUACCAUUCUAUUUCACUUCACAGAUCAUGAUAUCUAAAGUGAAAUAGAAAGGUGAAUGCAUCGAUAAGGUUGGUUCCACCAUACUAAUCAUAAUCAACAUUGAUAAUCUAAUCAGUGUCUGUGUGUAACUGACCAAUAUCUUUGAUGCGGGGCCAGGAGCUGAUCUAUGCUGCCAUGCCCAUCAAUGUGGGACUGAAGGUGAUUACUAAUAAUACAGUACAGCAGAAAUGUCCAGUAUUUGCAACACCCUUUUCAUUCCAUACGUCACUGAUGAACUUUGCCUCAACUCUGCCUAGCUCUACAGAUGGAGAGGACUGUAGAUGCGUUUGCCAGUCGCCAGCCUCGGUCGUUUGAUGGGGAGACCAUAAUUGAGUAGGUAUUAUCUGACCUGUUCAAACUUUAACAUAGUACCAGUUUGUGUGUCAGAUAUUACCUAUCCUAACUGUAAUUGGUAAUAAAACAGUGACUAUGUGUUCACAGAAACAUAUAUGGAGCCAGCACAUACACUUGCAAGAUUAUGUGAUGAAGUCGAGACUGACAGACGGGCUUGACACUGAUGUCUCUAAAUGGAGAGACCUGGCACUCUGCAUUAAAAUGUUACUAGACACAACUUUCACUUGUAUUGUCUUAUUAUUAUUGAAUUGAAUGGUAUCAGUCAAUAUGGGGAGGGAGAAACCCUGUGUAUUCUGCACCAGGAUCAGGGAAGGAACUCCUGUUAUAUACGAUACACCACACAGGGAGGUAUGACCACUCUGACAUGUUAGACAAGGUAGCCUCAUUACCACCUCACAAAAUGCAGAUAGGCACAGUAUCUGCAAUGGCUGGGUAUGACAAUGAAAGGUGAGAGGUGCACCUUGUUAUAUUAGCAGAACAUCUCUGGUAUAACAACUGCAGCUACCUGCUUCAAUGGUAUUUUGUAAAGGGUUGUUUAUUAUACAUGGACCUGUUACUACAUUUAAAAAAUGAUCGAAACACUAAGUUUAGAAUAUCUACAUAAAUUCAGCAAUUGCAUUCUUCUCCUAUUGCUCUGUAGGCUACUGACCUAUUCAAAGCUUCCUCCGGCAUAUCACCAUACAUCGGCAUGUAUAUUAUUGAACUCAACCUGCAGGAGGUUUGUUUGUGGGGAUUGAGUGGGGUGAAACAGCUGCUGGAAAGGUUCUGACAGAUGGGUGUGUCUUGGUGGUGUGAAGGACACACCCAAGAAACACACACAUCAAACCAAACCCCCAAACCAACUCACGUUUGUUUGGCUUCUGUCAUGGGCGCCAGCAUUUCUUGAGGAGCAAGCCAAAGAACUAGGUCAAAUCAGUAGGGUUUGCUUUUGUUAAUUAAAGGGAAAGGGUCAUUAAUGAUGAUUUUUGACUAAUAUGUGUUUUUUGUUAUAUUAAGUGGCUCUAAAUGUGGUCCCUCCAUGUGAGAUUAUGAUAGAUGCAUACAUGGUGGAUGAAUGAACACCGAGACGGUUGUAUGAUUUACAACAGUCAAGCCAAUGCUUCACCCACAGAGAAAGUUAUUUACUCUGACCAAAAACCAUAUCGCAAUUUAUACUGAAAAUAUACAGUACUUUCCUCAGUAUUUCUCAUCUCCCUUGACAACAGAAAUAGAAAAAGUGUUAAUGUUAGUUAUCUCUGUGCAUUUGAGCGUAUGAUUGAACUUGUCCUGAGGGACAUUACAUUCAUUCUAAGAGGGAAAAAGUUCUUAUUUGAAGACGUUAAUAAUGUAGGUCUUCUAAAUAACCAAAUUCUUGAAUAGGAAUGUAAUGAAUGCAUGAAAUGAAAACAUAAUUUAAUCAAACAUGUUG